rnacentral:rRNA from 1 species
CCUACGGGAGGCAGCAGUGGGGAAUAUUGCACAAUGGGGGGAACCCUGAUCCAGCGACGCCGCGUGAGCGAUGAAGUAUUUCGGUAUGUAAAGCUCUAUCAGCAGGGGAGAAAAUGACGGUACCUGACUAAGAAGCCCCGGCUAACUACGUGCCAGCAGCCGCGGUAAUAAGUAGGGGGCAAGCGUUAUACGGAUUUACUGGGUGUAAAGGGGGGGUAGACGGCUGUGAAAGUCUGGAGUGAAAGGCAUGGGCUUAACCUGUGGACUGCUUUUGAAACUGUGCGGCGUGAGUGUCGGAGAGGCAAGUGGAAUGCCUAGUGUAGCGGUGAAAUGCGUAGAUAUUAGGAGGAACACCAGUGGCGAAGGCGGCUUGCUGGACGAUGACUGACGUUGAGGCUCGAAAGCGUGGGGAGCCAACAGGAUUAGAUACCCCAGUAGUC